rnacentral:rRNA from 1 species
AGCGAACGCUGGCGGCAUGCUUAACACAUGCAAGUCGCACGGCCCGCAAGGGCAGUGGCGGACGGGUGAGUAACGCGUAGGUAUCUGUCUCCGGGUGGGGAUAACUGUGGGAAACUACAGCUAAUACCGCAUGAAGCCUGAGGGCCAAAGGCGCAAGUCGCCUGGAGAGGAGCCUGCGUACGAUUAGCUUGUUGGGCGGGGUAAAGGCCCACCAAGGCGACGACGUUAGCUGGUCUGAGAGGAUGAUCAGCCACACU